CCGCUCCGUCCUCCAACUCCUCCCGGUUAGCAGCAGCGAAGACGCCUCCGCAAAACGCGCCUCUUCUUCUCCGAUCGUUCGUUAGGGUUUAGGAGGCCGGAUCUACGACGGAGCACCGCCGUGCGGAAUGUGCAAUUCAAUUCAAUUCAAUCAUGCGCUUUCGGAAAGUGUUAGUGCGACAUCGAAUCAGAUGUGAGAUCGCUCCCCGAAAUGGAGCUGCGGUGGCUGCUUUGCUUUGCUUCGCUUCGCUUCGUUUGGUGAAUGCCUACAAUACUAUUCCUCGGACUUCUGUCAAUGUUAGGCGGCCAUUUGCGCCCCUGGCCAUGACUCCCUCCUGACUGCGCCUCUGGCCCCAUUCUACAUAAAAAAUAAGAGCCAGAUAUAAGUGGCACGUGGACUUGUCAAGGAGGUGGUGGACCAUCUCUCAGCAGAUUGCAGACAGCAGCCAAUGGAUGGAGCUAUUGGAUGACUGAUCAAUGAUCGUGUAUGUAUAAGAGGCCACCACAUACAUGUUGGCUACACCACCACGUACAUAUUGGCUGCAAUUGGUAGGUGAUCUUUUACUGUCGCAAUAAUAAUUCCUAUAUUGUUUUCAGGUCAGAUGCUAUUUUUGCUUCUUUAUUUCAGCAAGUUAACUAUUUUACACAAACAUUUGUAUAUUAUGUUUUGGUCUGAAC